GGAGCACCUUUCUCAAGGACAAGAAAUGGUAGCAACCAAAAGGUUGGUUGAAGGAAACAAUCCUUCCUUCUGGUGGUGUGAACCCGGCUUCCUCACAGAGCCCUUUUUUCCUUCUGCCCAGCUCCAUCCCACCAGAGUUUCUACCCCCGCUGAGGCAUUUCCUGGGCACAGACUACCACACUCUAAGCCGGCUCGCCUGGGAGUUAGGGUCCUGCCCACCUCACCUGGGAGUUAGGGUCCUGCCCACCUCACCUGGGAGUUGGGGUCCUGCCCACCUGGAGUUUAGCACACUGGUCGCUCACUUUGCUUUGGUC
rnacentral:sRNA from 1 species